AGGCUGCUCGCCUAUUAAAAGGGAACGUGAGCUGGGUUUAGACCGUCGUGAGACAGGUCGGACUUUAUCUGCUGGGAGUGCUGGCUGCCUGAGGGGAAAGGGUCCCUAGUACGAGAGGAACGGGACGCUGUGGCCACUAGUUAACCGGUUGUCCGACAGGGCAGACGCCGGGCAGCCACGCCGCUGAGGAUAAGGGCUGAAAGCAUCUAAGCCCGAAGCCUCUCCCGAAAAUAGGCAGCCAUUCCCCAUAAAUGCUGGGCUGGCAACAGCUUGGCUUUGGGGACGAGGGCUCCCAUAAAAGAUGGGUUUGAUGGAGCCGGGGUGUAAGCCGGAAGGCUUCGGCCGACCGGUUCAGCCUGCGGCUUCCAACCGCCCAAGGUGUCGGGCUA
rnacentral:rRNA from 1 species